UCAAGUUAUUAAGGGCUCACGGUGAAUGCCUUGGGAUCAAGGACCGAUGAAGGGCGCGGUAAGGCUGCGAUAAGCCUCGAUUAGCCGUCUAACGGGCUUAGUCGAGGAUUCCCGAAUGGGGAAACCUGUUCCGGUGUUGAGCCGGUUCAUCUGCAUAGCAGAGGGUAAGUGGGGGAACUGAAACAUCUAAGUACCCUGAGGAAAAUAAAUCAACCGAGAUUCUCUUAGUAGUGGCGAACGAACGGGGAAUAGGCCAAACCCCUAUGACUUAGUGGUGUAAGGACCUAUGUCAUAGCGGUGUCACAGGAGGCAUCUGAAGUCGCCUUGCCAGACUUCAAGAAGUUACAAAACAUGAGUUUAGUCGAAGGACCCUGGGAAGGGCCGUCGUAGAGGGUGAUAGCCCCGUAGACGAAAAGUUCAUGUCUUCUGAUGCAUUUCCUAAGUACCACGGGACACGAGAAAUCUUGUGGGAAGUCGGGGGGACCACCCUCCAAGCCUAAAUAUCCUUGAUCACCGAUAGCGAACAAGUACCGUGAGGGAAAGGUGAAAAGAACCCCUAGCGGGGAGUGAAAUAGACCUGAAACCGUGAGCUUACAGAAGGUCGUAGUCCUGAUUUAUCAGGAUGUCGGCGUGCCUAUUGAAGAAUGAUCCAGGGAGUUACUUUAUGUAGCGAGGUUAAGAAACUGUAGUUUCGGAGCCGAAGCGAAAGCGAGUCUGAAUAGGGCGACUAGUUUCAUAGAGUAGACACGAAACCGAGUGAGCUAACCAUGGCCAGAUUGAAGGUCCGGUAACACGGACUGAAGGAUCGAACCCGUAGCUGGUACAAAAGCUUGGGAUGAGCUGUGGUUAGAGGAGAAAUUCCAAUCGAACUCGGAAAUAGCUUGUUCUCCCCGAAAUGUAUUUAGGUACAGCCUCGGAUUAAAGAUGAACGGAGGUAGGGCACUGAAUGGGCUAGGGGCCGUAAGGUUACCAAACCCAAUCAAACCACCAAUGCCGUUUAAUUGUUAUCCGGGAGUGAGACAGUCACAGAUAAGUGCGAUUGUCGAAAGGGAAACAGCCCAGACCACCGGCUAAGGCCCCCAAGUGCGGGCUAAGUGGGAAACGAGGUGGGAUUCCCUAGACAACUAGGAGGUUGGCUUAGAAGCAGCCAUCCUUUAAAGAGUGCGUAAUAGCUCACUAGUCAAGGGGUCCUGCGCGGAAAAUGUAACGGGGCUAAAGCCCGUCGCCGAAGCCGUGGAUUUUAGUAUGUAUUUACUGGGAUGGUAGGGGAGCGUUCCUCGGGCAGUGAAGUUGUAUCGUGAGGUACAGUGGAGCGCGGGGAAGUGAGAAUCCUGGAAUGAGUAGCGUUAACAAGGGUGAGAAUCCCUUGCGCCGGAAGCCCAAGGUUUCCUACGCAAUGUUUAUCAGCGUAGGGUUAGUCGGUCCUAAGCCGUAGGCAAAUGCCGAAGGCGAUGGACAGCAGGUUAAUAUUCCUGCACCGCCUGUUUUUUGUUGAUACUCGGAGGGGUGCGGAAGGGUAGAUAGGGCGUGCCUAUUGGACAUGGUACGUUCUUGACUGUAGGUAGUUGGAGCAGGAAAAUCCACUCCAACGUUACACUGAGAGUUGAGAAAAUCGGAUCCUACGGGAGUAAGAAAUCCUAUUGAACCCAAGCCGACUAGAAAAGCUUCGUUUGUAGAAACUCAGGCGACCGUACCGCAAACCGCCACUGGUGGGCAGGUAUAAAAGUACCAAGGCGUGCGAGAUAACCUCCGUUAAGGAACUAGACAAAAGAGCCCUGUAACUUUGGGAGAAAGGGCCCCCCGGAUGGUGAAGGCCACUUGCUGGCACAGCUUUUUGGGGGCGCAGAGAAGAAGCCCGGGCGACUGUUUAACAAAAACACAGGUCUGUGCUAAGGGGAAACCCUACGUAUACAGGCUGACACCUGCCCAGUGCUGGAAGGUUAAGGGGAGGGGUGAGAGCCUCGAACUGAAGCCCCAGUGAACGGCGGCCGUAACUCUAACGGUCCUAAGGUAGCGAAGUCCCUUGUCGGGUAAGUUCCGACCCGCAUGAAUGGUUGAACGACUUGGGCAUUGUCUCAACGGAGGGCUCGGUGAAAUUGCGGUGCCCGUGAAGACGCGGGCGACCUGCGGCAGGACAAAAAGACCCCGUGGAGCUUUACUGUAGCCUGGUAUUGGGCUGGGAGCUGUCAUGUGUAGGAUAGGUGGGAGGCUAUGAAAUUCUUGCGCCAGUGAGAAUGGAGCCAUUGUUGAAAUACCACCCUUGGCUGUUUUUGGUUCUAACCUCAGCAAAGCUGAGGGACAAUGCCUGGUAGGCAGUUUGACUGGGGCGGUCGCCUCCUAAAAGGUAACGGAGGCGCCCAAAGGUUCACUCAGGACGGAUGGAAAUCGUCUGCAGAACGCAUUGGCAUAAGUGAGCUUGACUGCGAGACCUACAAGUCGAGCAGAGACGAAAGUCGGGCAAAGUGAUCCCACGGUCCCGUGUGGAAGGGCCGUGGCUUAACGGAUAGAAGCUACCCCGGGGAUAACAGGCUUAUCUCCCCCAAGAGUUCACAUCGACGGG
rnacentral:rRNA from 1 species